rnacentral:lncRNA from 1 species
CUUUUUUGCAAAGACUCACCUUAUGUACUCUUAACCUGUUUUUUCUCAUUCCUUUGAUUCUGCCAGACUUCGUAGCCCCCAAGGCCUAGUGUUAGGUCUGAUCACCCUAAAAUAAAAGUACUUGUUUUAUGAAUCUGGAUGCUCCAAUUUAUAUUUGAAUGCUCCAAAAUAUACAUGGAUGCAUAUUUAUUUAGAAUAGUUAAGUCUUCUUGUUGUAUUUAACCCUUUAUCAUUUUGUAAUGCCCUUCUUUGUCCUUUUUAUUGUUGUUGGUUUAAUGUCUGUUUUAUCUGAUAUAAGAAUAGAGACCUCUGCUCUUUUUCAUUUUCCAUUUGCAUGGCAGAUCUUUCUCCAGUUCUCUACUUUGAGCCUAUGGGUGUUGUUACAUGUGAGAUGCUCUUGAAAACAACAGGUGGAUGAGUCUCUUUUUAUCCAACUUGGGACUAUGUACCUUUUAACCGAGGCAUUUAAACCAUUUACAUUCAAAAUUAAUACUGAUAUGUGAGGUUUUGAUUCUAUUGUGAAGUUGUUAACUGUUUGCUUUCCAGUGUCAGAUGUGUGGUUGCUUUAGUAGGAUCUAUGGGCUAUUUAUUUAAGGGUGUUUUUGAAACAGGUAUGCUUUUUUGUUUCCAUGUUUAGAACUUCCUUAAGGAUAUCUUAUAAGGUUGGCCUAGUGGUAAGAAAUUCCUUUAGUGCUUGCUUGUCUGGAUAAUAUUUUAUUUCUCCUUUGUUUAUAAAGUUUAGUUUGGCAAGCUAUGAAAUUCUUGGUUGGAAUUUCUUUUCUGUUUAUUUCAUUUAUUUUUUUGCUAAAAAAAUAGGCCCUAAUCUCUCCUGGCUUGUAAGGUUUCUGCUAAAGAAGUGUGCUGUUAGCCUGAUGGGCUUCCCUUUAUACAUGAUCUACCCUUUUUCUCCAGCUGCCUUUAAGAUUUUUACUUUAGCAUUGACCUUGGACAGUUUGGUGACUAUAAGCCUUGAUGUUUGUUUUGCAUAGUAUCUCAUAGGUGUUUUCUGGAUUUCUUGUUUCUGGAUGUCUGCCUGUCUAGCAAGAUUAGGAAAGUUUUCUUGAAUUAUUCCCCCAAGUAUAUUUUCCAGGUUGUUGACUUCUUCUCCUCUUAGGAAUGCCAGUAAUUUAUAGGUUUGGUUUCUUUACAUAAGCUCAUAUUUCUCAAAGAUUUGUUCAUAUUUUGAGUUUUUUUUUCUUUUGUCUGACUGGGUUAGUUCAAAUGGUUGGUCUUCUAACUCUGAAAUUCUUUCUUUUGCUUAGUCCAGUCUAUUGAUAAGGUUUUCAAUUGUAUUUGGAAAUUCCACAAGUGAGUUUUUUAUUUCCAGAAUCUCUGAUUGAUUUCUACUUAAUAUGUUUAUCUCUUCCUUCAUUUCCUGGAUUUACAGUCUACUUGAGUUUUCCCUUUCUAUGCCAAGAUCAGGAACAAUAGGAGGAUUAAUCUGGAACAUGUUAGUCAUGGCGAGCAGUGGAUAUAACUUUAUAAAAUAGUCUGAUAUAUGGUAGACUGUUUUUUAUUUUCAAAAACAUAUUGGCUCUUGUUAUAUACUUAUUAUGUUAUAUUUAUUACUUGAAUUGUACUCAUUUAUUCAAUUAAUAUAUACUUAUCAGUCAAGGACCUAUUAUGUGCUAUCAAUAAUAUCAAG